AGCAUAUCAAUAAGCGGAGGAAAAGAAACCAACAGGGAUUGCCCUAGUAACGGCGAGUGAAGCGGCAACAGCUCAAAUUUGAAAUCUGGCUUCGGCCCGAGUUGUAAUUUGUAGAGGAAGCUUAGGCGCGGCACCUUCUGAGUCCCCUGGAACGGGGCGCCACAGAGGGUGAGAGCCCCGUAUAGUUGGAUGCCUAGCCUGUGUAAAGCUCCUUCGACGAGUCGAGUAGUUUGGGAAUGCUGCUCAAAAUGGGAGGUAAAUUUCUUCUAAAGCUAAAUACCGGCCAGAGACCGAUAGCGCACAAGUAGAGUGAUCGAAAGAUGAAAAGCACUUUGAAAAGAGGGUUAAAUAGCACGUGAAAUUGUUGAAAGGGAAGCGCUUGUGACCAGACUUGCGCCGGGCGGAUCAUCCGGUGUUCUCACCGGUGCACUCCGCCCGGCUCAGGCCAGCAUCGGUUCUCGCGGGGGGAUAAAGGCCCCGGGAACGUAGCUCCUCCGGGAGUGUUAUAGCCCGGGGCGUAAUGCCCUCGCGGGGACCGAGGACCGCGCAUCUGCAAGGAUGCUGGCGUAAUGGUCACCAGCGACCCGUCUUGAAACACGGACCAAGGAGUCAAGGUUUUGCGCGAGUGUUUGGGUGUAAAACCCGCACGCGUAAUGAAAGUGAACGUAGGUGAGAGCUUCGGCGCAUCAUCGACCGAUCCUGAUGUAUUCGGAUGGAUUUGAGUAGGAGCGUUAAGCCUUGGACCCGAAAGAUGGUGAACUAUGCUUGGAUAGGGUGAAGCCAGAGGAAACUCUGGUGGAGGCUCGCAGCGGUUCUGACGUGCAAAUCGAUCGUCAAAUCUGAGCAUGGGGCGAAAGACUAAUCGAACCAUCUAGUAGCUGGUUACCGCCG
rnacentral:rRNA from 1 species